AACGCACAUUGCGCCCCUUGGUAUUCCGAGGGGCAUGCCUGUUCGAGCGUCAUUACAACCCUCAAGCAUUGCUUGGUAUUGGGCUCCGCUGCUCACCCAGCGGGCCUUAAAAUCAGUGGCGGUGCCGUCGAGGCCCUGAGCGUAGUAAAUAUCCUCGCUAUAGGGACUCGGUGGACGCUGGCCAUCAACCCCCAACUUUCUAAGUUUGACCUCAGAUCAGGUAGGGAUACCCGCUGAACUUAA
rnacentral:misc_RNA from 1 species